UGGAAACAUUUUAAAAUCUAGUUUCAGAAUCUUCUGAAGCAAUGUCCUGGCGAUGCCUAGUUGAGCAGAGGGACGACGGGUAGAGGCUGAUGGAUCCUCAAGGACACUCUGCUAUACAGCUUCCACCGCUACGUCAGUGCGCGCAGUUUGCUUAAGACCUCUUCCUGGAAGAUCGCCGACUGAUCCAGUUCUUUCAAAUUGGGUGAUUAGGUUCUGAAUCAUGUUAUCGCUAGGAGAUACUCUAACCGCAAAAGGUUGCUGGUAUUUUCUCUGAGUUUAAAUAAUUGAUCUUUCACUGGAAUAGAAAAACUCAAUGAGUUUUACUCGUUGCUGGACAUCAUACGUAGCCAUUUUAAUAUCCAAGGGAUGCUCUAGAACAUGAAAACAA